GAUGAAGAACGUAGCGAAAUGCGAUAAGUAAUGUGAUUUGCAGAAUUCAGUGAAUCAUCGAAUCUUUGAACGCACAUUGCGCCCAUUAGCAUUCUAGUGGGCAUGCCUGUUCGAGCGUCAUUUCAACCCUUAAGCCCUGUUGCUUAGCGUUGGGAGCCUACAGUACUGUAGCUCCCCAAAGUUAGUGGCGGAGUCGGUUUCACACUCUAGACGUAGUAAUUUUUUCUCGUCUGUAGUUGAGCCGGUCCCCUGCCGUAAAACACCCAAUUUAUCAAGGUUGACCUCGGAUCAGGUAGGAAUACCCGCUGAACUUAAGCAUAUCAAUAAGCGGAGGA
rnacentral:misc_RNA from 1 species